rnacentral:rRNA from 1 species
AUUGAACGCUGGCGGCAGGCCUAACACAUGCAAGUCGAACGAGUGGCGGACGGGUGAGUAAUGUCUGGGAAACUGCCUGAUGGAGGGGGAUAACUACUGGAAACGGUAGCUAAUACCGCAUACCAUCAGAUGUGCCCAGAUGGGAUUAGCUUGUUGGGGGGGUAACGGCUCACCAAGGCGACGAACCCUAGCGGGUCCGAAAGGAUGACCAGCCACCCUGAGUCUGAGACACGGUCCAGACUCCGACGGGGGGCAGCAGUGGGGAAUAUUGCACAAUGGGCGCAAGCCGUAUGCAGCCAUGCCGCGUGGAUGAAGAAGGCCUUCGGGUUGUAAAGUACUUUCAGCGGGGAGGCGUUACCCGCAGAAGAAGCACCGGCUAACUCCGUGCCAGCAGCCGCGGUAAUUC